ACGCUCGACACCUACUGGAGGCAGCAGUGGGGAAUAUUGCACAAUGGGGGAAACCCUGAUGCAGCGACGCCGCGUGAGUGAAGAAGUAUUUCGGUAUGUAAAGCUCUAUCAGCAGGGAAGAAAAUGACGGUACCUGACUAAGAAGCCCCGGCUAACUACGUGCCAGCAGCCGACGGUAAUCUGAGGCGGGCUGGCAAGGC
rnacentral:rRNA from 1 species